rnacentral:rRNA from 1 species
ACGCUCGACACCUACGGGAGGCAGCAGUGGGGAAUAUUGCACAAUGGGGGAAACCCUGAUGCAGCGACGCCGCGUGAGCGAAGAAGUAUUUCGGUAUGUAAAGCUCUAUCAGCAGGGAANAAAAUGACGGUACCUGACUAAGAAGCCCCGGCUAACUACGUACCAGCAGCCGGCGGUAAUCUGAGCGGGCUGGCAAGGC